rnacentral:misc_RNA from 1 species
AACGCAACUGGCGCCGGUCUACCGGCAUGCCUGUUUCAGUGUGAUUGGAGAGUAAAUCAUCAUUAUUAAAUAUAAUGCGAUUGAGGUGCAUUUAUGUACUUCUUUCGUUAAAUAUGAAGGUGUGAAAGAUGAGUAAUCUCUCACACUGGCAAACGAGGUAGUCAUGCUUGUUAGUGACCUAGUUUAACCAGUGCUAAAGGUUUUUACUUAACAAUAAAUCACAUCUAAUAAAUUAAACAUCUCCAAAUCUAGCAUCUGAAAUCAGACAAGGAUACCCGCUGAACUUAA